UCAGUUAUGGUUUUUUUGAUGGUACACACAGUUACUUGGAUAACUGUGGUAAUUCUAGAGCUAAUACAUGCAAAUAGAGCCCCGACCAUUCGCUGGAAGGGGUGCUUUUAUUAGAUCAAAACCAAUCAGGCUCGUAAGGGCUUGUUUGUCUUGGUGACUCUGAAUAACUUUGGGCUGAUCGCAUGGUCUUGUACCGGCGACGCAUCUUUCAAAUGUCUGACUUAUCACACUUUCGAUGGUAGGCUCUGCGCCUACUAUGGUUAUAACGGGUAACGGGGAAUCAGGGUUCGAUUCCGGAGAGGGAGCCUGAGAAACGGCUACCACAUCCAAGGAAGGCAGCAGGCGCGCAAAUUACCCACUCCCAGCACGGGGAGGUAGUGACGAAAAAUAACGAUGCAGAACUCAAUCCGAGGCUCUGCAAUCGGAAUGAG
rnacentral:rRNA from 4 species